rnacentral:rRNA from 1 species
AGAGUUUGAUCAUGGCUCAGGACGAACGCGGGCGGCGUGCUAAUACAUGCAAGUCGAGCGAGCAGAACCAGCAGAUUUACUUCGGUAAUGACGCUGGGGACGCGAGCGGCGGAUGGGUGAGUAACACGUGGGGAACCUGCCCCAUAGUCUGGGAUACCACUUGGAAACAGGUGCUAAUACCGGAUAAGAAAGCAGAUCGCAUGAUCAGCUUAUAAAGGCGGCGUAAGCUGUCGCUAUGGGAUGGCCCCGCGGUGCAUUAGCUAGUUGGUAAGGUAACGGCUCACCAAGGCGACGAUGGGUAGCCGGCCUGAGAGGGUGGACGGCCACACUGGGACUGAGACACGGCCCAGACUCCUACGGGAGGCAGCAGUAGGGAAUAUUGCGCAAUGGACGGAAGUCUGACGCAGCGACGCCGCGUGAGCGAUGAAGGUCUUCGGAUCGUAAAGCUCUGUCCUUGGGGAAGAAGGCGAAAGCUUGACGGUACCCAAGAAGAAAGCCCCGGCUAACUACGUGCCAGCAGCCGCGGUAAUACGUAGGGGGCGAGCGUUGUCCGGAAUUACUGGGCGUAAAGGGUGCGUAGGCGGCCCUUUAAGUCGGAUGUGAAAGCCCGCGGCUUAACCGCGGAAUGGCAUUCGAAACUGGAGGGCUUGAGUGUCGGAGAGGGUAGUGGAAUUCCCAGUGUAGCGGUGAAAUGCGUAGAUAUUGGGAGGAACACCAGUGGCGAAGGCGACUACCUGGACGAUAACUGACGCUGAGGCACGAAAGCUAGGGGAGCAAACAGGAUUAGAUACCCUGGUAGUCCUAGCCGUAAACGAUGGGUACUAGGUGUGGGUGGUUUCGAUACCAUCCGUGCCGUAGUUAACGCAUUAAGUACCCCGCCUGGGGAGUACGUGCGCAAGCAUGAAACUCAAA